UUCACUUCACAGGAAAAGCACGAAGAUGAAUGCAGACCAUGUUGUUUACAAUAUUUAUGCAGAAACACUCGGAUAUAAUUCAUCUCUGAAGAAUUGCGCAUAUCCAAAAAGACUUACUUUGCUCAUUAUUAUAGUAUACAUCAACUGAACCGAAUAUGACAUUCAUCCAAGAAUAAGAAAACUGAAUCCGUUCUAAAUCUGCAGAUAUAAUUCAUCUCUGAAGAAUUGCGCAUAUCCAAACAGACUUACUUUGCUCAUUAUUAUAGUACAUCAACUGAACCGAACAUGACAUUCAUCCAAGAAUAAGAAAACUGAAUCCGUUUUAUAUCUGCAGAGCUUUACAAAUAAUCCAACGAAAAGAACUUUCAACUAAAAGGGGAGUGGUUACAGGUAUUGUCGCUACUACAUGGAAUUGCACCCAAGAUGGAAUGCUUUGCUCAUCACAUUAUGCAGCAAUUUUCUGUUGAUUCAAGCAUCUCAGGAGAUCUGCAAUACAGUAAAAAUCCCUA
rnacentral:lncRNA from 1 species